rnacentral:rRNA from 1 species
UACAGAGGUCUCAACCGUUGUUCGGAUUUAUUGGGCGCAAAGGGCUCGUAGGCGGUUUGUCGCGUCGGGCGUGAAAACCCAGGGCUUAACCCUGGGCUGGCUUCCGAUACGGGCAGACUAGAGGUAUGCAGGGGAGAACGGAAUUCCUGGUGUAGCGGUGAAAUGCGCAGAUAUCAGGAGGAACACCGGUGGCGAAGGCGGUUCUCUGGGCAUUACCUGACGCUGAGGAGCGAAAGUGUGGGGAGCGAACAGG